rnacentral:misc_RNA from 1 species
CGAAAUGCGAUAAGUAAUGUGAAUUGCAGAAUUCAGUGAAUCAUCGAAUCUUUGAACGCACAUUGCGCCCCCUGGUAUUCCGGGGGGCAUGCCUGUUCGAGCGUCAUUUCACCACUCAAGCCUCGCUUGGUAUUGGGCGACGCGGUCCGCCGCGCGCCUCAAAUCGACCGGCUGGGUCUUCUGUCCCCUCAGCGUUGUGGAAACUAUUCGCUAAAGGGUGCCACGGGAGGCCACGCCGCAAAACAAACCCAUUUCUAAGGUUGACCUCGGAUCAGGUAGGGAUACCCGCUGAACUUAAGC